rnacentral:rRNA from 1 species
AACGAACGCUGGCGGCAGGCUUAACACAUGCAAGUCGAGCGCCCCGCAAGGGGAGCGGCAGACGGGUGAGUAACGCGUGGGAACGUACCCUUUGCUACGGAAUAGCUCCGGGAAACUGGAAUUAAUACCGUAUGUGCCCUACGGGGGAAAGAUUUAUCGGCAAAGGAUCGGCCCGCGUUGGAUUAGCUAGUUGGUGGGGUAAUGGCCUACCAAGGCGACGAUCCAUAGCUGGUCUGAGAGGAUGAUCAGCCACAUUGGGACUGAGACACGGCCCAAACUCCUACGGGAGGCCGCAGUGGGGAAUAUUGGACAAUGGGCGCAAGCCUGAUCCAGCCAUGCCGCGUGAGUGAUGAAGGCCUUAGGGUUGUAAAGCUCUUUCACCGGGGAAGAUAAUGACGGUAUCCGGAGAAGAAGCCCCGGCUAACUGCGUGCCAGCCGCCGCAGUAAUAC